UAGGGAAUCUUCCGCAAUGGACGCAAGUCUGACGGAGCAACGCCGCGUGAGUGAAGAAGGAUUUCGGUUCGUAAAACUCUGUUGUUAGAGAAGAACAGCGCAUAGAGUAACUGUUAUGCGUGUGACGGUAUCUAACCAGAAAGCCACGGCUAACUACGUGCCAGCAGCCGCGGUAAUACGUAGGUGGCAAGCGUUGUCCGGAUUUAUUGGGCGUAAAGCGAGCGCAGGCGGUCAAUUAAGUCUGAUGUGAAAGCCCCCGGCUCAACCGGGGAGGGUCAUUGGAAACUGUUUAACUUGAGUGCAGAAGGGGAGAGUGGAAUUCCAUGUGUAGCGGUGAAAUGCGUAGAUAUAUGGAGGAACACCAGUGGCGAAGGCGACUCUCUGGUCUGUAACUGACGCUGAGGCUCGAAAGCGUGGGUAGCAAACAGG
rnacentral:rRNA from 1 species